rnacentral:rRNA from 1 species
ACCCGCUGAACUUAAGCAUAUCAAUAAGCGGAGGAAAGGAAACCAACAGGGAUUGCCCUAGUAACGGCGAGUGAAGCGGCAACAGCUCAAAUUUGAAAUCUGGCUCUUUUAGAGUCCGAGUUGUAAUUUGCAGAGGGCGCUUUGGCUUUGGCAGCGGUCCAAGUUCCUUGGAACAGGACGUCACAGAGGGUGAGAAUCCCGUACGUGGUCGCUGGCUAUUGCCGUGUAAAGCCCCUUCGACGAGUCGAGUUGUUUGGGAAUGCAGCUCUAAAUGGGAGGUACAUUUCUUCUAAAGCUAAAUAUUGGCCAGAGACCGAUAGCGCACAAGUAGAGUGAUCGAAAGAUGAAAAGCACUUUGGAAAGAGAGUCAAACAGCACGUGAAAUUGUUGAAAGGGAAGCGCUUGCAGCCAGACUUGCUUACAGUUGCUCAUCCGGGCUUUUGCCCGGUGCACUCUUCUGUAGGCAGGCCAGCAUCAGUUUGGGCGGUAGGAUAAAGGUCUCUGUCACGUACCUCUCUUCGGGGAGGCCUUAUAGGGGAGACGACAUACUACCAGCCUGGACUGAGGUCCGCGCAUCUGCUAGGAUGCUGGCGUAAUGGCUGU